rnacentral:rRNA from 1 species
GACGAACGCUGGCGGCGUGCCUAAUACAUGCAAGUAGAACGCUGAAGAGAGGAGCUUGCUCUUCUUGGAUGAGUUGCGAACGGGUGAGUAACGCGUAGGUAACCUGCCUUGUAGCGGGGGAUAACUAUUGGAAACGAUAGCUAAUACCGCAUAACAAUGGAUGACACAUGUCAUUUAUUUGAAAGGGGCAAUUGCUCCACUACAAGAUGGACCUGCGUUGUAUUAGCUAGUAGGUGAGGUAAUGGCUCACCUAGGCGACGAUACAUAGCCGACCUGAGAGGGUGAUCGGCCAUACUGGGACUGAGACACGGCCCAGACUCCUACGGGAGGCAGCAGUAGGGAAUCUUCGGCAAUGGGGGCAACCCUGACCGAGCAACGCCGCGUGAGUGAAGAAGGUUUUCGGAUCGUAAAGCUCUGUUGUAAGUCAAGAACGGGUGUGAGAGUGGAAAGUUCACACUGUGACGGUAGCUUACCAGAAAGGGACGGCUAACUACGUG